rnacentral:rRNA from 1 species
GACGAACGCUGGCGGCGUGCCUAAUACAUGCAAGUCGAGCGGAUGACAGAGGAGCUUGCUCCUCUAGAUUCAGCGGCGGACGGGUGAGUAACACGUGGGCAACCUGCCCUGUAGAUUGGGAUAACUCCGGGAAACCGGGGCUAAUACCGAAUAAUCCUUCGGACCUCAUGGUCCGAUGUUGAAUGACGGCUUCGGCUGUCACUACAGGAGGGGCCCGCGGCGCAUUAGCUCGUUGGUGAGGUAACGGCUCACCAAGGCCACGAUGCGUAGCCGACCUGAGAGGGUGAUCGGCCACACUGGGACUGAGACACGGCCCAGACUCCCACGGGAGGCAGCAGUAGGGAAUCUUCCACAAUGGACGAAAGUCUGAUGGAGCAACGCCGCGUGAGUGAAGAAGGUUCUCGGAUCGUAAAACUCUGUUGUGAGGGAAGAACAAGUACCGGAGUAACUGCCGGUACCUUGACGGUACCUCAUUAGAAAGCCACGGCUAACUACGUGCCAGCAGCCGCGGUAAAAC